AUCGCUUCUCGGCCUUUUGGCUAAGAUCAAGUGUAGUAUCUGUUCUUAUCAGUAUAAUUCAUAAUGAUAGAUCCAAAAGUGUAUUUUGAUUUUUUCUUAAAAUUGUUUAAAAAACAGGAUAGUCCAA
ensembl:snRNA LOC120097278 U2 spliceosomal RNA